GACGAACGCUGGCGGCGUGCUUAACACAUGCAAGUCGAACGGAAAGGCCCUGCUUUUGUGGGGUGCUCGAGUGGCGAACGGGUGAGUAACACGUGAGUAACCUGCCCUUGACUUUGGGAUAACUUCAGGAAACUGGGGCUAAUACCGGAUAGGAGCUCCUGCUGCAUGGUGGGGGUUGGAAAGUUUCGGCGGUUGGGGAUGGACUCGCGGCUUAUCAGCUUGUUGGUGGGGUAGUGGCUUACCAAGGCUUUGACGGGUAGCCGGCCUGAGAGGGUGACCGGCCACAUUGGGCCUGAGAUACGGCCCCGACUCCUACGGGAGGCAGCAGUGGGGAAUAUUGCACAAUGGGCGGAAGCCUGAUGCAGCAACGCCGCGUGCGGGAUGACGGCCUUCGGGUUGUAAACCGCUUUCGCCUGUGACGAAGCGUGAGUGACGGUAAUGGGUAAAGAAGCACCGGCUAACUACGUG
rnacentral:rRNA from 1 species